UGACGCUCCACCCUGCUGUCGCGAUAUGACCGCCGCCGACACUAAAGUACUAGAACUAGACUGAAUCAGUCGAAAACUGGCCGCUUGCAUCUGGAACUAGGUGUAAUGUGCUGGUAUUAUAACACGUUCUUCGUACCUGUCCUCCUGACGAUGAUGGCGAUAGGGAGGAUGGCAGGAUGUGUAGCGGGAUUUCGGCUGUUUUUAUUCGAAACGGGAUCGGAAUUUGACUAGUUACUCUUCGAGAACACAAACACAAUCACCUGCAGCUGAUAUUUGCACGAAGGGCGCUUUGUAACGGUGGCAGCUGUUAAUGGCCGCCAAGACAGCGAUGCGAUCCGAAAAACAAUGCUAACCAACCAACACCGCCUACCUAUUUAAUUUACUUACCAUUUCUAUCGCUUCUACUAGCCAUGUUUGCGAUUCCAUGUAUUUUGGUAAAGUGAUCGGUCGAGUUUGGGACUGAUGGUCCCGAAGAUCGGUUUUGGUCCGAUAAUGAAUAAUAAUUAACUAAUUAUCUGCAAUAAAACUUAUCUUCGUUUCCAUUUCGCAAUUUCCAAAAACUUUUGCUAUUCAUUUGUUUCGUUUCAGGUAUCCAAGAAACCGUGGUAGCAAUUCAAUUAAAACGACCAACUCUUGUCUUCUUUGCUGAGGACCGAUACCAAAUUAAACUACAAAUGUUACAUCCUAUACGUAAAAAUGUGAGAUCGUUGAUGAAUACUGUACGAUUUUGAGUUAUUUACGCGUAAUACUUGAAUAAAUGUAUGUCGGGGCGACGUGGGCCACGACCGCCUAGUUCCGCCAUUUCACGAAAUGUGACAACGCUCGGUGCUCCACACUUUCACGUCGGAACUGAUCGGGACAGCUUUCCGAUUCUACCCGAACUCGGCCGAAAUAAUGCGCGCGUAUUCCGUCAGCGGUUCUCACCGGUUCCAUUGAUAGAUUUCAGAAAUUCCGAAAACGCCAAAAUUAUCAACAGAAUUAGCUGUUGUGUAUCUCCCUACACGGCGAGACAUCAUUAUUAUGAACUUAUUCGCAAAAUUAAUGAAAUGAACCAUAGAUCUAUAUCGUGUUCUUUCAACACGUAUGGUUUAGAAAUAUAAUUCUAUUCUUGCAUCACUUUUCUACCUAAUGAUGAGCUAAAAAUAAUUUGACAAUCAAGAAAUAAAAAUAAUACAAUUGAUUGUGGGAGCAUUAAGUUAUCGCAUAUUUAUUCGUGACAAGAUUAUCGAUUUGACAUAAUAUCAUUAUGCUUAAUGAUUUUAUUUACAUAACAGUCAUCUGGUACAUGCACUAAUAAAUUUGUCUUACCUCGGAAAUCGAACUAUUUACACAUACUUUGAGUUGGGAAACAAGUUCAUAGUGCAUAGACACCUGAGACAUAUCCUUAGACUGAUUUUUUUUUUGUUUCAUAAAUGGUACCAAGCAGAAUCAAUUCUGUAUUUUGUUCCUAAGCAGACUUGACUACUAAAAUUUACAUUACAGUUGCUCACCGUUUGAGCAAUUAAAGCAGCAGUCUUUAACAGCUUGUCAUAUUCGGAUCAACCAAGUUGUGUAGAUAUUAGAUAACUACAUAAUGAUUACAAAAGUUUAUAUUUGUCAUUUGUGUCCACCUGGAAAUUUUUAUAAUUUUCGAUGUACUUGGGUAACAGCAUUGCCACAGAGAAAACAACCGCGAAUCUCAUUUCUCAUUUUCGUAUGUUUCUUUUCAUUUUUUUGUUUGUAGUCUGAAAGCUUGAUGGCAACGAAAUUGUUUCAACUUUCUACUACUCACUAGCGUAGUAAUAAUGUUUUCUUAGAUAAAUUCUCUUAGUUGAACUAUUUCUAUUAUUUCAUGUACAUUCUGCCCCUCAUUGUAAUAUUUGGAUGUAAGUUUACAGUGAUAAUAACUGACUGGAGUCUUCUUGAGAGGAAUCAACGUUACGCAGGGCAAUUAUGAUCACAAAUUGUUGACGAUACAGCUACUGAUAUUCUCACAUCUGCUUAUAUCAAUGAAGCACAUUGCCAACAGCUGAUCACUAAGUGUCAAUUAAUACAAUUACAUCACAAUAAUCUAUCGCUAGAAUUUCUACACGGUAAAAGUUAACGAUGAUGUAAACACGAUGCUUAUAUGUAUUACAUUUAUUGGCCAAAAUACUAGAGGGUAGCUGACCAUCAUAGGUGUGUGAGCCCACAAAAGUCGAUCAAUCUUUAGAGUUGUCAAUUUACAAUCAUCAUUUUUUUAAUUUCUCUCUUUUAAUAUCAAACCAGUAUUUUUGACAGAAGCAUUCAAUUUAUUAAAGCAUAGGAGGAACACAAUUUUUUAAUGUCUAUGACCAUACUGUCCAAUAACAACAAUUUUUACAUCAGGCAUAUCAGUUUGUUGCAUAGGAUAUUCUAAACACGUUAUUAAAAUAUUCUGUAGUGGUAUUGAAGUAAUGUUUUUAUAGAAAUACUUGCCAAGAAAUUCAGAGAUAUUUGCCGUAUUAGUGACAAUAUUAUAUUUUUUAGAUUGAUUGGACCAUGUAGCAAAUAUUAUGUUGAUGAAUGUUUUACAAAAGGGCAUCAACAAAAAAGUGAUGUCCGAGUAUAAUUGCCUUCGUAAUUUCAUUUGACUGAACGGUUUUGGUUGUACACUUGCUCCAAUGUUUUUUUUCUUUCCUUAUUAAAGUAAUUUAGCAUCUUUUUUCAAUUGCCAGCGUCUAUUUUUAUAACUUAAAAACAUUCGUACAAACACUCAGUCUCGCUUUCUCUCUUGUAACGACUAAACAAGUUAAAACUAGACUGUGUCUUAGUUGCCAAGCAUUCAACUAUUGAGCAACAAAACAAAUAGGAUCACGCAGAAAAGUACUAGGAAAGGAAGUAUGAUGAACUGAAUAUGGGACUUAUUCGAGACUACUAUCCACAGGAGCUAAAUAGCGCAAGUUUAACAGCUUGAUCAAUUAGAUUCAUUCCUCUAGAAUGGUGUGAUAAGUUUUUCAUUUUUACCGAAAGUAUUUUUAAUAAUUUGGCAAAAUG